GAUCCAGAGGAUCUUCUUUACGAUUAGCUUCAAUAAAGUCGGCAUAUUUAUCUGACAACAAGAACAACAGAACAUUUAUCUUAUAUCACUCAGAACUGGUGUCUUGGACUUUGCCUUAAAGGGAAAGGCCCUGUGAGCCCAGACCUGGUCCAGAUCACUGGCUGACACGGAGCCUCCAUCAGCAGCAAUGGCACAGAAAAUCACCACCUAUGAAUGACAGGUUUAAUAUCAAGACCACAAACUGAAGCCAAUGAGGUGAGUCCUGCGGAUUCCAACACU